CGCGUAGGCGGUAAUGUAAGUCAGACGUGAAAUCCUUCGGCUUAACUGAAGAACUGCGUCUGAAACUGCAUGACUAGAGUGCAGAAGAGGGAAACGGAAUUCCUGGUGUAGAGGUGAAAUUCGUAGAUAUCAGGAGGAACACCGGUGGCGAAGGCGGUUUCCUGGUCUGACACUGACGCUGAGGCGCGAAAGCGCGGGGAGCAAACAGGAUUAGAUACCCUGGUAGUCCACGCCGUAAACGGUGGGUACUGGGUGUGGGAGGUGUAAUGCCUUCUGUGCCGAAGCUAACGCGUUAAGUACCCCGCUGGGGAGUACGGCCGCAAGGUUGAA
rnacentral:rRNA from 1 species